AACUUCAUGAUCUUCAUAGGCUCGUAUUCUUUUUCUAGUGGGCUGCCCACCACAAAAAUCUUGCACAUGCUCCUUGUUGUCUACUCCCUCAAUUCCAAAGGUUUCUCUAUCAACAACACAAUCACAAUAAUCGCCAUCAUGAUCAAAGUCAUCAAGAUUCCCUUCAGUCUCACUACUUACUACCUCAAACCAGGAGAACCAUCAGGUACUUCUUCUACAUAAUCAUCAUCUUCAUCAGUAUUCUCUAUGCUCUUUCCACAAGAAGUCUCAUUUUCCUACGAAUCACCAUCUGAUAUGGUUACUACAACCCCAUCCUUCUCACCAUUAAAAUUUUGACCCAUUACAACUUUCUUCCAUUUCCAUACUCUGAUGACUUACCUCUACAAUUAAAGAUUUGAGUUCACUCAUCAUACCUUCUAGUUGGGCUUCUUGAUGAUCCUUCCAUUUCAAGAUCAUUGCUGCAACUUCUUUCUUCCAUUCUUGAAAACAAUUUUCCUCUGCUAUGGCCUUACGAAAUUACAAGAAGAAUGGAAGGUAAAAUGAGAAAAAAGAAGCUGAUAGGAAAGAACAGAAAAUAGAGAAAACCCCUAGAUUCAAGAAGGAAGGAAGAGGAGUAGAAGAAGGGAGGAAGAGGAGAAGAAGAAUUAGCAGCAGAAAUUCAUGGCCAAAGACCAUAAGCUCUGAUACCAACUGCAAGAACCAGAAACGGAAAUAGAAGAAUUUCCAGAAAGAGGAGAGAAGAAGAGAAGUCACAAAAGAGAAAACAAAGCGAAAUCUUAUUCAUUUACAUCAAGAAUCCAAAAUAAGUUAUAAUACAAAAAUUAUAGCUAUUUAGCUAGCUAACUAACCUUACAAGUACAAUGACCCAACUCGCUCUCUCUCUCAAUUCCUGCCCUUGUAGCAGAUUGCAACAGCAUAACGAUGGUCUUCUCAAGAAUUGAAAUUUGUAGCCAAACAGUAUCAUAUCAAGAUAAGAUCACAAACCUUGAAAGAAUCUAUAUAAUAUCACUCUUCCUUGGGAAGAGGAUCCUACAAAACAGAAGGCAAGUUUAAAAAAUACACCCAACUUUUAGAUGAAAUCCAAUGGUUAGGACUAUCAAAUAUCAGUGCAAGUAAUUACAGAAAAAAGGCACAAGUUUGUAACACAUUCUUCCAAAUCCCAUAAUAUGUCAGGCAAAGAUGUAAAAUAAGAAUAUUACACACAUUCGUAACUAGUACACUCAGUGGUGAGAUUUCUCUUGUUUUGAAUUGAUAUAAGAGAGUGGGUUUCUUUACAUUUGGGCCACUUCUGCUUCUCUUCGUUCUUACGUAGCCUCGCAGCUACCAUCUUAAGACCACUCCUCACGUAGCUCACCACAGCUGUGACAAACUCCAAUGGAGAGCACGGAGAACAACCGCCAUUUACGUAGUAAACAAACAAGUACGAGUCAUAAUGUUGGCCAUUGAUUAGGUAAAAACCUUGCAACCUUCGUAUACACUUGAAUGCCAUUUUUUUGUAUAAAUGAAUGGCAGGAUUGUUGUAAGAAAUCACAUGCAAGUAAACAGCACGGCAUGUUGGAAUACUUAAAGAAUAUUUGAUAACCUCACGAAUAAGAGCAGUUGCUAUCCCAAGAUUUCUGUAAGCUUCUACCACUCCAAGAGUCAGAAUGUAGACUAGUGUUUGAUCUGGUUUUGAGGGGUCAUAUCUGAGUAAAUCCCCUAUCUCACUUUCUUUUGCCAGCACAAUUCUUGCAGUAACAAAUCCAAUAAGCUCAUCACUCUGACCAUUAGGUCGACCACGAUCAACAGCUGCCCAAGACACAAUGUCACGUGCAUUGACAACAUUUUGGAAAAACUCCGACUCAUACCUGAUAGGAAAUACAUCUGCAUGGAGUCGCUCUAAAAUCUCCAAGUCAGAUGGCCGUAUAGGCCUGUAGCAUAUAGUUGGGCGGUGGGAGCUCUUAGGGUUUACCAUUUAUGGUUUUGCUGUUAAUCCCCGGCAAAGAUAUGGUAAAUUUGGAAAGUUUGUUCAUGAACUUCUUCCAUUUAUGGCACACAAAUCGCCAUCUCCAUGUAGCAGUUGCUCAUACAGUGGUUUUGGAUGGCAAGAAUCCAGAGAGAGAGAGUGUGCAGAAAUAUGAGGGAAAGGAUAUUAAUAUGUGGGAAUUGUUGGUGGGAUUUCUUUUGCCUUUUCUUUUGCGGAUGAAAAUCGAGUUAAAUUGAAAAGAAUUAAUGCUUUGCUUUGGUUUCCUGGAAAAAAAAUGACUUACAAUCUUGUUUGAGACAAGGCUCGAUCUUUUUGUAAAGCUUUCCUUGUUUACAAAAAUAUAAAUUGCUGGGUAGACUUGACUUUGGGUGGAUUUUGUAGCAUGAUAACGAAAAUACCCCUCGCGGAAUUUGGUUAAGAGGGCUUCAGGGUUUGAAUUUUACAGAAAUGAAUGUGGUGUACAACGAAGACAAUGUUGCCUUGCCCGUUCAUAGUCUACGGUUUAUGCACUGUAA
rnacentral:misc_RNA from 1 species